AAAGAAUCAUUGCUCUGCUGAAGGGAGGGGAGGUGAAAACCUCAACAACACUAUGAUGGGGAGAGAUAGCAUAGAUGAAGUACAUCAUACCAACAACUCCGCUGGGGAUCUAUCCGAGGAAAAUGACGAAGUACCGGGAUGUCAAUCCACCAACUACCGAAUCUUCCAAAAGGAAAGCACCCAUGUUGAGGAGAGAAUACUGCUGGAGAAGAAAAUCGAAGUCUCCAACAAGCACUCUGAGUGAGGAGGAGUCAUAAUAAAG
rnacentral:lncRNA from 1 species